UGCCUAAGGUCACCUAGCUAGUUGCCAGGGAACAGAGGCCUGUCACUGGGUCCCAAGCCCAGGCUCUCUCCACGCAACGCCAAUGCCCCUCCCUCCCAUCCCCAACAUAGGAAGCAAUGUUGGGAUACAUACAUGUUAACAUCCUGAGGAUCAUACAGCUCAAAAAUGUCACCACUUACCAUUUCUGAAGGAGGUUUUUUUUUGGGGGGUGGGGUGAUGUGUUGUUGGUAGAAAGGGAACUAUAUAGCAACAGGGGUUACCUCGAUCGACAGCCCCUCUUUCUGAUAUAGUUGGACCCCUGCAGGCUCGGAGGUUCCCAGAAGCUGGAGAUUUUCCAUUGCCUCCAUAUUUCCAAGUCUGUCUUUCAGCAAAUAUUUCCUGAGCUCUUGCUAAGUGCUUUGUUACUGCCUCUGGAAGCCUGGCCAAAUGACUUAACCUCUCUGAGCCACAGUUUCCCCAUUCUGCAAAAUGGGAUUGAUGAUAGUCACAUGGCUAUUGUGAGGAUUAAACGAGAUAACCUAACAGCUGCUGGUGGGCUGUUGCUAGUGGCGACACCUGCCUCCAACACCCCACCCUGUCUGCUAUUUUUCAUUUAAAUGCAUGGGAACGUCUGUUUGGUAACUGGGGGAGGAUGGAGGGGAGCAGAGGGGCUGGAAAACAGGAAAAGAAUAUGAAGGCAACAGUCCUCCCUCUUGUGCCCCUCCCAGGGACGUGGAGAGAGCUGUGGAGCUCCGAGCCUGUCUGAACUGUUCAGGAAGGACUUGUGAGUUUCUGGGCCCUUUGAGUUGGCAUGACACACAGCCACAGUGAUGAGAGGCUUUUCCAAGAUCUUGGUGGGCGGGAGGCAUGGACCACUGAGAGCCAGAACAGGAGGAGAAGAACAGAGCAACCAUCUUUUGGUGAUCACAGCUACAAGGGCUCAUAUGAGGUUUCUUUUUGAGAAUUCCCAGAAUAAAAGGGCACUCUAAGAAUGUUGAUGAAAUCAUCAAUAAGAUGUUACGAGCAUAAAGAAUGGAGUUGGUGCCUGGCACUGACAGAAUGGGAGAACUCAAACCAGCUGAUGAGCAGCUCAGACCAGAUCUAAGUGUUGGGAUCCUGGUGCCACCCCCAUCUUGACAGCUCAGAGCUACAAAGAGAGUAAGAGGUCGGGAAAAAAUAAGCUGUGUUCAAAAACAGCGUAGUAUGGAGCUUAAAAGCGUGCACUGAAAUCUGACUGCCUGGAUUCAAACCUUGGCUCUCCCACUGGCUAGAAGUACAGCGGAUGUAUGUGUGUAAAGUUUCUAUGUGAAUCUGCUGGAUUUCAAAGCCACAAGUUUCCUGUAUCUUCAAGAGUGCAAUCAUCUCCUAACGGUUCCUCCUUCAAUCCACGCUCCACGCUGCUGCAAAGAGAACUUUCGACAGUGGAGAUCUGAUUAUGUCACUUCCCUACUUCAGACUUUCCAAUGGUUUUGCAUUACCUUCAAAAUAAAGAAUAAACUUCACACGGCAGACAGAGCCUUCAUCAUCCAGAUUCAUCUAGAGCAGCAUUGCCCAGUAGAAAUACAUGAGCAAUAUAUGUAGCUCUAAAUUUAUAAUAGCCACAUUUAAAAAAAUUUUUUUAAAUUACAGGUGAAGUUAGUUUAAAAAAUACAUUUUAUUUAACCCAAUAUAUUAAAAAUAUCAUAGCAACACAAACCCAGUAUAAAAAUUAUUAAUGAGGUGUCUUAUAUUCCUUUUUUCUAAGUUCUCAAAAUCUGGUGUGUAUUUAACACAUACAGCACAUCUUAAUUCAGAUGCUAAAUUUUCAAAGGUU
rnacentral:lncRNA from 1 species